rnacentral:rRNA from 1 species
UUAAGCGACUAAGCGUACACGGUGGAUGCCCUGGCAGUCAGAGGCGAUGAAGGACGUGCUAAUCUGCGAUAAGCGUCGGUAAGGUGAUAUGAACCGUUAUAACCGGCGAUUUCCGAAUGGGGAAACCCAGUGUGUUUCGACACACUAUCAUUAACUGAAUCCAUAGGUUAAUGAGGCGAACCGGGGGAACUGAAACAUCUAAGUACCCCGAGGAAAAGAAAUCAACCGAGAUUCCCCCAGUAGCGGCGAGCGAACGGGGAGGAGCCCAGAGCCUGAAUCAGUGUGUGUGUUAGUGGAAGCGUCUGGAAAGGCGUGCGAUACAGGGUGACAGCCCCGUACACAAAAAUGCACAUACUGUGAGCUCGAUGAGUAGGGCGGGACACGUGGUAUCCUGUCUGAAUAUGGGGGGACCAUCCUCCAAGGCUAAAUACUCCUGACUGACCGAUAGUGAACCAGUACCGUGAGGGAAAGGCGAAAAGAACCCCGGCGAGGGGAGUGAAAAAGAACCUGAAACCGUGUACGUACAAGCAGUGGGAGCCUCUUAAUGGGGUGACUGCGUACCUUUUGUAUAAUGGGUCAGCGACUUAUAUUCUGUAGCAAGGUUAACCGAAUAGGGGAGCCGAAGGGAAACCGAGUCUUAACUGGGCGUUAAGUUGCAGGGUAUAGACCCGAAACCCGGUGAUCUAGCCAUGGGCAGGUUGAAGGUUGGGUAACACUAACUGGAGGACCGAACCGACUAAUGUUGAAAAAUUAGCGGAUGACUUGUGGCUGGGGGUGAAAGGCCAAUCAAACCGGGAGAUAGCUGGUUCUCCCCGAAAGCUAUUUAGGUAGCGCCUCGUGAAUUCAUCUCCGGGGGUAGAGCACUGUUUCGGCAAGGGGGUCAUCCCGACUUACCAACCCGAUGCAAACUGCGAAUACCGGAGAAUGUUAUCACGGGAGACACACGGCGGGUGCUAACGUCCGUCGUGAAGAGGGAAACAACCCAGACCGCCAGCUAAGGUCCCAAAGUCAUGGUUAAGUGGGAAACGAUGUGGGAAGGCCCAGACAGCCAGGAUGUUGGCUUAGAAGCAGCCAUCAUUUAAAGAAAGCGUAAUAGCUCACUGGUCGAGUCGGCCUGCGCGGAAGAUGUAACGGGGCUAAACCAUGCACCGAAGCUGCGGCAGCGACACUAUGUGUUGUUGGGUAGGGGAGCGUUCUGUAAGCCUGCGAAGGUGUACUGUGAGGUAUGCUGGAGGUAUCAGAAGUGCGAAUGCUGACAUAAGUAACGAUAAAGCGGGUGAAAAGCCCGCUCGCCGGAAGACCAAGGGUUCCUGUCCAACGUUAAUCGGGGCAGGGUGAGUCGACCCCUAAGGCGAGGCCGAAAGGCGUAGUCGAUGGGAAACAGGUUAAUAUUCCUGUACUUGGUGUUACUGCGAAGGGGGGACGGAGAAGGCUAUGUUGGCCGGGCGACGGUUGUCCCGGUUUAAGCGUGUAGGCUGGUUUUCCAGGCAAAUCCGGAAAAUCAAGGCUGAGGCGUGAUGACGAGGCACUACGGUGCUGAAGCAACAAAUGCCCUGCUUCCAGGAAAAGCCUCUAAGCAUCAGGUAACAUCAAAUCGUACCCCAAACCGACACAGGUGGUCAGGUAGAGAAUACCAAGGCGCUUGAGAGAACUCGGGUGAAGGAACUAGGCAAAAUGGUGCCGUAACUUCGGGAGAAGGCACGCUGAUAUGUAGGUGAAGUCCCUCGCGGAUGGAGCUGAAAUCAGUCGAAGAUACCAGCUGGCUGCAACUGUUUAUUAAAAACACAGCACUGUGCAAACACGAAAGUGGACGUAUACGGUGUGACGCCUGCCCGGUGCCGGAAGGUUAAUUGAUGGGGUUAGCGGUAACGCGAAGCUCUUGAUCGAAGCCCCGGUAAACGGCGGCCGUAACUAUAACGGUCCUAAGGUAGCGAAAUUCCUUGUCGGGUAAGUUCCGACCUGCACGAAUGGCGUAAUGAUGGCCAGGCUGUCUCCACCCGAGACUCAGUGAAAUUGAACUCGCUGUGAAGAUGCAGUGUACCCGCGGCAAGACGGAAAGACCCCGUGAACCUUUACUAUAGCUUGACACUGAACAUUGAGCCUUGAUGUGUAGGAUAGGUGGGAGGCUUUGAAGUGUGGACGCCAGUCUGCAUGGAGCCGGCCUUGAAAUACCACCCUUUAAUGUUUGAUGUUCUAACGUUGGCCCCUGAUCGGGGUUGCGGACAGUGUCUGGUGGGUAGUUUGACUGGGGCGGUCUCCUCCUAAAGAGUAACGGAGGAGCACGAAGGUUGGCUAAUCCUGGUCGGACAUCAGGAGGUUAGUGCAAUGGCAUAAGCCAGCUUGACUGCGAGCGUGACGGCGCGAGCAGGUGCGAAAGCAGGUCAUAGUGAUCCGGUGGUUCUGAAUGGAAGGGCCAUCGCUCAACGGAUAAAAGGUACUCCGGGGAUAACAGGCUGAUACCGCCCAAGAGUUCAUAUCGACGGCGGUGUUUGGCACCUCGAUGUCGGCUCAUCACAUCCUGGGGCUGAAGUAGGUCCCAAGGGUAUGGCUGUUCGCCAUUUAAAGUGGUACGCGAGCUGGGUUUAGAACGUCGUGAGACAGUUCGGUCCCUAUCUGCCGUGGGCGCUGGAGAACUGAGGGGGGCUGCUCCUAGUACGAGAGGACCGGAGUGGACGCAUCACUGGUGUUCGGGUUGUCAUGCCAAUGGCACUGCCCGGUAGCUAAAUGCGGAAGAGAUAAGUGCUGAAAGCAUCUAAGCACGAAACUUGCCCCGAGAUGAGUUCUCCCUGACUCCUUGAGGGUCCUGAAGGAACGUUGAAGACGACGACGUUGAUAGGCCGGGUGUGUAAGCGCAGCGAUGCGUUGAGCUAACCGGUACUAAUGAACCGUGAGGCUUAACCUU